rnacentral:rRNA from 1 species
GCCUACAUGAAGCUGGAGUUACUAGUAAUCGCAGAUCAGAAUGCUGCGGUGAAUGCGUUCCCGGGUCUGGUACACACCGCCCGUCACACCACGGGAGUUGGAGACGCCCGAAGCCGAUUAUCUAACCGUUUGGAAGAAGUCGUCGAAGGUGGAAUCAAUAACUGGGGUGAAGUCGUAACAAGGUAGCCGUAUCGGAAGGUGCGGCUGGAUCACCUCCUUUCUAAGGAGA